GCCCAGCACAUAUGAUAGCCUACUUUAUUUCAGACUGUUCACAUUUCAAGGAGUGGGCUGGGGAUGUAGCUGUGUGGUUGAGCAGUUGCCUAGCAGCAAGGCCCUGGGAAGGGAGAGAGAGAGAGAUAGUAAUCUAAGCGGUGGGCACCAGGGUUUUGUUGUUGCUGUUUUUCCGAGCUGGACUCACUGUGUAGCCAACGACUGCCUGGAAUUCCGGGCGCAGGCCGGCCUACGAGCUUGCUGUGCUCUUUAGCCUGCAGCUGGUCCUGCUACACAGAUCUGCAGUUCCAGCUCUGAGCCUCCCUCCUCUAUUCGUUUCCCCUCCCCUCCAUCCUUCCUGUCGCUCCUAUUUCAUGUCUUAUUUUUUGAUUCCUUAGGAAUUGAGACAGACGUUCACCUGCCAACACUCUUCAGCUUCCCACAGAUGUGUCUGAGGAAACCCAAGGUGAGCUGUCUGUCUCCACAGAGCGCAAGGGGAGGGCUUGACAGGCCCUUUCUCCUUUGUUGGCAGCAUUCCUGGCAGUUGCCAAGACUUGCCAGGUUUUCACAGCAGUUUCACUUUGCCCUGGACGUAGGCUAGUGGCCAAUAGGCUCUUCUUCCUUCAAGAGUCGCUGGGCAUGAAGUUAAUUUGAUACCCAAAGUAGGAGGUCUCACAGGAUUAUUCACGGAAGAGGCUGCGUGUCUCUGAGUGUCCUGGAAAACUGCUUCAGCGGAAGAAAGCCUCAAGAGGAAGGCUCUGAGAUGAAAGGGACAGUUAGUUUUCAGACCCAAAUUUACCAGAAGUCAUUUCUUCUUUAUUUGCAUUUCCUCUCCUUAUCAAACAAAGUAACACACCCACAUAUGUCCAAACACACACCUGCGCAUGCAUUCGCAAUCGAGAGAACACACACACACACACACACACACACACACACACACACACACACACACACACAUGCACGCACUCGUCACACGGUGGUUUGUGCAGUUGCUAUGA
rnacentral:lncRNA from 1 species